rnacentral:lncRNA from 1 species
GCUCUUGUGCAAGCACUGCCCCAAUGAUGUGUUGUAGCAGCACGUCACACAGCCAUCUUGGUCAUCUACUCCACCAUGCAUCGCAUUGCGGAUGUGACCGAGUUGUUUCAAUGCAAGCUGUGAGUGAGGAAUAUCAUUUCUUUGGAAAAUAGGCAUGUUGAUAGACCACAUUAACGUCAAAAAUAACUUGUGGAACUCAACUGAGUUAAUUUUUUGAAUGGUCCAAAUGAUAAAUCACAAUCAGGGGGCUCAAGUCUAAGCGACGAAAUUGCCUAGAAAAACGAGGCCACAUCGAGCAUGCACAAAUAGGAUCAACAUCAAAACUAUGUCAUUUCAGAGCGCAUGCAUCGUAACGGGGGACAUUUCCAGAAGAAGAGCUUCACUUUUGGUGAAACAUCAAGCUUCCACAUCCAUUACCCUAUCACCUCAAGUUGAAGCUCCAUCACCUUCACCAAGUUUCCUUGCAAUCAAAUAACCCGAUUUCACUGUGUACGAGGCCACAAACUUGAAUACACAUCCCCCGAUAGGCAAAUCGGGAUUGAUAGUAUUCUUUUGGACAUCGUCUUGACAGAAUGUCUGCUCUAGUUGUUCCACCUUCCAUUUUUUAGCGUCAUCAUCGAUGAAAUCAGCCACUCGACGAUUUUCGAUCUCCCAAUUGAGAAUCGUGGAUGGUUUACAAUGAUAAGUGCAUUACACAUUCCUGAAUCAAUUAAACACUUAUCCCUUCUAGGUCUCAAACUGAAUAACUAAACAUGCAAAUUAUUGAUAAGAUAAUUCACAAGUAACAAGCAUCAGGAAUUGUAAAUCAUAAAUUGGAAGACAAUAUGACAUUAAUAAAUCAAUCACAUAAAUUCUAUCAACUAUCAAAUACUAGAAUCGAAAAAAGAACUAGCCAUACAUAAUUAAAUAACAUGUACAAGACCGAGAUUUUCAAGAAGUCUCUUUCCAACGGCUCUAUUCGAAACUCCUAUAUAUAUUAUAAGAUCGUAACCUAUGAAAAAACCCAGAAUUGUUGCGCAAUUGAAUUCUCAAGCUCUCAAGCUAACCCUUAAGCAAACAACAAUAUUCUAAAGAAGAAUUAGAAUAGAAUCAUAAAAUUCAAAGGCCAUACUUGUGAAUCCAUAUUAAGUUUCUAGCUAGACAUUUCUCAUUGUAAUAUCAUCAAACAUAGAUCUUGAACACACUUAUAUACCUUAUGUUCUUCAUUGUAACAAUGCGUUCUCAUAUAUAGUUGGAACCUACCUUCAAAAUCCCGUCACCCCUUGUAAAAUUUAGGUGUUAGUGUUAGAUGGAAAUCAGUAAAGUAAGUUACAAGUUCGUAGUCUGAAAUCUAAAGAUAGUCAGAUGCAACUGAGGAAAUUGCUUUAACGGUCACGACCGCAUAACUAGUGGUUUAGUUUAACGUAACUAACUGAUCAACUAACUUGCAGCUAUAAAUAAAAAAUCAUAACGUUGAUUGGACCAUGUCGUGGAUGUAGGAGCAGUUUACUCUGAACCACAUAAAUUCUUUAGGUACUUUACUCUAUGUUUCAUUUACUGUUAUAUUUCACUGUCAUAA